rnacentral:rRNA from 1 species
CCUACGGGAGGCAGCAGUGGGGAAUAUUGGACAAUGGGCGCAAGCCUGAUCCAGCCAUGCCGCGUGAGUGAUGAAGGCCUUAGGGUUGUAAAGCUCUUUUGCCAGGGAAGAUAAUGACUGUACCUGGAGAAUAAGCCCCGGCUAACUUCGUGCCAGCAGCCGCGGUAAUACGAAGGGGGCUAGCGUUGUUCGGAAUCACUGGGCGUAAAGCGCACGUAGGCGGACUUUUAAGUCAGGGGUGAAAGCCUGAGGCUCAACCUCAGAACUGCCCUUGAUACUGGGAGUCUUGAGUAUGGUAGAGGUUGGUGGAACAGCAAGUGUAGAGGUGAAAUUCGUAGAUAUUUGCUAGAACACCAGUGGCGAAGGCGGCCAACUGGACCAUAACUGACGCUGAGGUGCGAAAGCGUGGGGAGCAAACAGGAUUAGAUACCCUGGUAGUCCACGCCGUAAACGAUGGAUGCUAGCCGUUAGCCAGCUUGCUGGGUAGUGGCGCAGGUAACCCUUUAAAGCACUCCGCCGUCGGGUAGGUACGGUCGGCGAAGAAGUUAAAACGUUAAAAGGUAAAGUUAGUAGGUUACGUUGUAGAGUUAGCGAACGGACGACGACGAGGGAGGAGG